rnacentral:rRNA from 1 species
GAUCAUGGCUCAGGAUGAACGCUAGCGGCAGGCUUAACACAUGCAAGUCGAGGGGCAGCGAGAGAGUAGCAAUACUUUGUCGGCGACCGGCGCAAGGGUGCGUAACGCGUGAGCAACUUGCCCGUUUCUGGGGAAUAACCGGUGGAAACGCCGACUAAUACCCCAUGGCAUUGAUUUCAGGCAUCUGUUAUCAAUUAAAGAAUUUCGGAAACGGAUAGGCUCGCGUGACAUUAGCUAGAUGGCGGGGUAACGGCCCACCAUGGCGACGAUGUCUAGGGGUUCUGAGAGGAAGGUCCCCCACACUGGAACUGAGACACGGCCCAAACUCCUAUGGGAGACAGCAGUUAGGAAUAUUCGUCAAUGGAGGAAACUCUGAACGAGCAAUGCCGCGUGUGUGAUGACGGUCCUUUGGAUUGUAAAACACUUUUAUUAGGGAAGAACGACUGGUAUAGGAAAUGAUACCAGAGUGACUGUACCUUUUGAAUAAGCCCCGGCUAACUACGUG